GGGGAUUUAGCUCAGCGGCAUAAGCGCCUGCCUUGGAAGCAGGCGGUCAUGAGUUCAAUCCCCA
rnacentral:tRNA from 1 species